rnacentral:rRNA from 1 species
CCAAUAGCGUAUAUUAAAGUUGUUGCAGUUAAAAAGCUCGUAGUUGAACUUCGGGGUCUACCCAUUGGUCAGGCUUAAUUGUCUGCACUGGUGAGAUGGAUCUCUACCUUCUGAGGAACUUUCAUGCCAUUUAUUUGGUGUGAUGGGAAAUCAGGACUGUUACUUUGAAAAAAUUAGAGUGUUUAAAGCAGACUAUCGUCUGAAUACAUUAGCAUGGAAUAAUGAAAUAGGACGGACUGAUUCUAUUUCGUUGGUUUCUAGGAUCACCGUAAUGAUUAAUAGGGAUAGUUGGGGGCAUUAGUAUUCAAUUGUCAGAGGUGAAAUUCUUGGAUUUAUUGAAGACUAACUACUGCGAAAGCAUUUGCCAAGGAUGUUUUCAUUAAUCAAGAACGAAAGUUAGGGGAUCGAAGACGAUCAGAUACCGUCGUAGUCUUAACCAUAAACUAUGCCGACUAGGGAUCGGAUGAUGUUAAUUUUAUAAUGACUCAUUCGGUACCUUACG